rnacentral:rRNA from 1 species
UACGAAGGGGGCUAGCGUUGCUCGGAAUCACUGGGCGUAAAGCGCACGUAGGCGGACUCUUAAGUCGGUGGUGAAAUCCUGGAGCUCAACUCCAGAACUGCCUUCGAUACUGAGAGUCUCGAGUCCGAGAGAGGUGAGUGGAACUGCGAGUGUAGAGGUGAAAUUCGUAGAUAUUCGCAAGAACACCAGUGGCGAAGGCGGCUCACUGGCCC